UCCUCCUCCACCUUCUCCUCCUCCUCCUCUGUCGUCUUCUUCUUAUUCCUUUUCUUCUUCUUCUUCCUCCUCCUCCUCCUUCCUCUUCUUCCUCCUCCUCCUCCUUCUUGUUCUUUUCCUCCUCUUCCUCCUUCUUCUUCUCCUUCUCCUUUUCCCUCUUCCUCCUCCUCCCCCUGCCUUUCCUCCUCCCCCUCCUCCUCCUCCUCUUCCUCCUCCUCCUCCUUCUUCUUCUUCUUCUUCUUCUUCUUCUCCUUCUAAUAUAAAAAAUAAAAUUAAAGCUUGUGUGUACCCUUGUGUGUCCCUUUGGGUUGAGCUCUCUAAUAGACAUAUUUUGCAGGAGGGAUUACAUAGGAAGAGACAUACUAACAGUGCUCUCGGAAUCAACACCUAUGAAAGGAAAGAGAACUCAAUAUUGGACAGAGGGAAAAUUCAAGCUAUGCAUUAUCAACAGAUGAGUUGCCUGCUCCUGUGAGAAGCCCUGGAGGUGGAAUGACUAUACAUUUUUUUUUUUUCCUGAAUCCUAUGCUCAGACACUGAAGAUGGGCCGGCCCAGUAAAGGGGUAUACAUUUGGUCAAAGUGGCUCUUUUUAGUUGAGGCCAUCUCCUGAAAGAGCUUAUAGGUGAGAGUUGUCUGCUGUAGCUGGGGAAUAAAUUUUUAUUCCCAAGCAGAAAUCUCAAUACCCCCAUGCAGUGUCCACAGAGUAUUUUCCCAAAAUGAUGGGGAGAAUUUGGAGCCCUAGGAUUUAUGCAAGGGGUUCAAUUCUAAUUUAUUCACCCUACUCAGGCUCAUACUCCAAUUUUUUUUUUUUUUUUUGCACCUGGUCUGCAUGUUAGAAUACCAGUUUGUAGCUUUUAAACCCUACAGCUUAUUAUAAAUGUUAGGGUUUUCCACUUCUCGUUAAUGCUUUUGCCUUGAUUGCUUGCUUCAAUUUUAGCAUUCUUACAUUUAUCUUCCUUUAGAGUUCAACUCUAAAUUUGUAUUUUAUUCAUAAUUAUUUCAUAGCAUUUUUCAGGUCAUUUUAUUACUGUGUGUUCCUUAGAUUCUAACACCCUAUGUUGUUGUACUGACUGCGUCAUUGAUUCUGUUUCUUGAUGUGAAUUGCAUUUGUUCCCUGUGACUAAUUUCCUGUAAUUGCAGCCAGAGAGGGUUCUGUUUUCAUCAGCUCAGUCCAAGGUGAUCAGUAUUUUCUUAACAUAAUGUUUACCUUGAAUAUAUUAUGAUUUUAAUUGUGAAAUGCUAUUCAAUUUUUUAAGGAUUCCCUCAGAAGUAAUGUGCUCUGUAAAGUUUAGGAGACACAAUAUUUUAUAGAUUUUGCUAGUAAAACCAGAAUUAGAAACUUGUACUUUUUGACAUUGACACAUGCCAUUAUUGCUAUAUAGGAAAUCUCCAUAACAUCAACAUCAAUUUCAAGUAAAAAAUAGGGCACUAUUUAUCUCAAAACCAAGUUAGCCCCAAGUCAUGAUCACAUUAUUGUCAUUUACUCUUUGUAAAUACUGUUACAUGUGACACCUGUCUUUGCCAAUAAAAUCCAUAAUCCUGGAG
rnacentral:lncRNA from 1 species